UUGUUCUGGAGUCGCAUUUUUU
rnacentral:sRNA from 1 species